UCCAAUCCCCUCCUCAUGAGGUCCCCUCCCCCAAAGACUCUCCAACAUGCUAAUCCUAUGAACUGCGACACACCACAGCUUUUCGGGAAAGAAUAAUGGCGAGGAAAGAGGAGAGCGAUUGCGGGGAGAAGAUGAGGCUAGAGCAUUACUGCAACCCCGUAUGAAGACGAGGGAAAGGAACCAUGGUGGAUGGAGAAGGAAGACCGGCUCCUAGGACAAACCCAGGGCUGCAGAAAAUGGGCCAAGACCCCUUACUCCACUCCCCAACAACAACAACAAACCAAACAAUAGGACUAUCUCUGCACAACCAGCACCCGUCUGAAAUAUCGUUUACCCCAAUAUGACUUAGGCAGAUUAAGCCUGAAGAUUAAAAAAAAAAAAUACCAGCUCUGCUCAUCUCUCUCCCUACCAUCCUCCCGACACGUACCCAGCAGCCCUUAGGUAAACUUGCCCAUCAUAACCAGCGGGACCAUUGUAACUUGAAAGGCGACGCAGAAGCUCUUGAAGGAGGAAGCAAAGCUCUACCCAGAACAGCAAAUUCAGAAAGGGUUCUUCAGGCUCCCCAGACUAACCUCCAAGUGCCCCCAGAUAUAUUAUCCCAGGAACCAAGUCACCCAGUAUGCUGGGAGUUCAAAUUUCCAUUAGAACCUUCAUCACAAAGGCAAAUGGUCAUCUGACCCUGAAUCUACACCAUUGUCCAGGUGUGACAAGGAGUGUCGCUCCCCUCCCAGGACCACCUUCAGGACCCUGGGCAGUAAAUAAAUUAAGAAUGUUGGGGUGGCUUAUGGUAGCAAAAGAAACGCUAUCUCUCCAAAGCGGGAAUAACUGAGGAAGCGGGGACAAGGCUGCUCCCGUUCUGUCAGCCGUCUUAUUUGGUCUGAGUGGACUUGCCCCAUCCUAGGCUACCUCUCAAUGAUCUCUGACUUUUACAUUUUAAAAAUAAACAGAUAAAAAUAAAGACCAGGACAGAGGAAACCUACUUUGCCUAAACCCUAAUAAUGGUUCGCAAAAAAAUACAAUUUUCUAAUUGCAUGACGAUACUUCUGCAAUCAAAUCAAAAGAGAUAGGUAUUUAAUGGACGAAGGGAGAAAUUUAUUUUUUUAACAAGUAAUCACAGGGUAAGUCACCUGCAAAGCAGCCGAGCCCAUAGGUUGGUAUUACAUCACUGGCCUAGGAAGAGAUGGGGGUGGGGGGAUAGAUUAUUUUUCCCUUGUCAUCAGGAUGCUGUUCCCAAAGCAGUUAAGUUUUGUGGUUAAAAAAGCAAGAGGGAAAGAGCUGAAACUCUGGGUAUAGCACAAUGCCUUGAAAAAACAAUACAUCGAACCAGGCUUUAAGGUCACUGAGAGCUUGCAAAAGCCACAGUGCUUACACAGAGUGGAAGUUUUCAGGCAAGCCUGCUACUAAA